rnacentral:rRNA from 1 species
UGGGGAAUAUUGGACAAUGGGCGCAAGCCUGAUCCAGCCAUGCCGCGUGAGUGAUGAAGGCCUUCGGGUUGUAAAGCUCUUUCACCCACGACGAUGAUGACGGUAGUGGGAGAAGAAGCCCCGGCUAACUUCGUGCCAGCAGCCGCGGUAAUACGAAGGGGGCAAGCGUUGUUCGGAAUGACUGGGCGUAAAGGGCGCGUAGGCGGUUCGUUGCGUCAGAUGUGAAAGCCCCGGGCUCAACCUGGGAACUGCAUUUGAUACGGGCGAGCUUGAAUCCAAGAGAGGGUGGUGGAAUUCCCAGUGUAGAGGUGAAAUUCGUAGAUAUUGGGAAGAACACCAGUGGCGAAGGCGGCCACCUGGCUUGGUAUUGACGCUGAGGCGCGAAAGCGUGGGGAGCAAACAG